rnacentral:rRNA from 1 species
UACGUAGGCAGCGAGCGUUGUUCGGAGUUACUGGGCGUAAAGGGCGUGUAGGCGGUUUGUUAAGUCUGGCGUGAAAGCUCUCGGCUAAACCGGGAGAGGUCGUUGGAUACUGGCGAACUAGAGGAUGGUAGAGGCGUGUGGAAUUCCGGGUGUAGUGGUGAAAUGCGUAGAGAUCCGGAGGAACACCAGUGGCGAAGGCGACACGCUGGGCCAUACCUGACGCUAAAGCGCGACAGCAUGGGGAGCAAACGGG